ensembl:lncRNA
CAAAAACUGUUUUUCCUAUUUGAGUUAGGCUGCACUUCAAUUACACAUGAGAACAGCAGGAUCAGAUUUCUCAAUUAUUCAUCAAGAUCUCUCUAAUUGCAGGAGAUAUUUUAGUUAAGGAAGAAAAGGAGGCAGAAAAAAUGAAGUUCCAGAUAAAAGCCAAAACAAAACAAAGGAACAUUUCAGAGAACAUGUACCAUCUACAGACCAGAUUCACACUUCUCUGAUCACCACUCACUCCUCUUGACAAAUAAAAGGUUUUGGCACGUCAACAAAACCAUCAAAAGGAAGCAACUCAGGAUAUGGUAGACCUUCUGGGCUGCAAGUGCACAUUGCUUGCUCAUGUUGAGGUUUUCAUCAACGAACACCCCCAAAUCCUUCUCCUUAGGGCUGCUCUCAAGCCAUUCUCUGCCCAGCCUGUAUUUUUCUUGGCUGUGAAAUUUUGUGAGCAAAGUUGUCUCAAAGCUUCUCAGCAGGUAAAUGACAACUCAAUCUAGUCACCCCAGCAAUAAUAAGAAAAGAAGAGCUCUUCACCACACAGCCUCAUCAUCCUGGCUGCUGGAGCAGCCCAAAGCUCAUGCUGUGGCUGCCGAGCUGUUAUGCAGCACACUCAGCUCCAUUGUGUAUCCUCCUGCCAAGAGUCAGGAGUGUAAAAAGGGUACGUUAAUGCAGAUUUGAAGGCUUGGUUGGCCCUGUUCCUUCUUUCUCCUUGGAAAACCCCCAUUGCAUUCAAUCUUUGCAAUUUAGAACAAAGUUAAAUAAAGCUGAUCUUUUCAUACUAUAAAAUAUUAAGAACAGCUGCACACAUUCUGAAAAUGAAUCAAUUCUUUUUGCUUUAAUUUAGUAUUGCCUUACUGAAAAUGCCUCUGUCUAUAUUCAUUUACUUGAGAUAGACUUCAGGAGACAUAAAGUGGUGCUACUGAAGAUGUUUGUGAUAACUGUAAGCUAGCUAUAUAUUAGUUUUGCAGCACUGCUCUUUUGCGCAAUAACUUACAAGCUCAGGCUUAAUAAUACAGUCUCCAAAAUAAGCUCUUACAUGUGCUAGGAAUGCCUUAACAGUAACUGUGGCUCUCUUGAUGUGCAGCAGUGAUAUAAUAGUAAUCAUUUUUUAGAUAUCUCUUAUUGUCAAAAUGACUUUAAUCUCGAUUUAUUAGAUAGUUACUGGUUCCUAGAAAGACAAAAUGAUAUCAACAAACCAUUUGUCUUCCAUGCUGGCCUUUAUGGCUGCAGUAGAGAUGUCAGUGAAGCACACAGUUGUUUUUCCAUCCAGAUAUUACACUGAUGUGACAUUGUCUUCUGGUUGAGCUGUUGAGAUAGUUUGCUUCCCAGUACACCUUCAGUCUGGCUGUUGUCUUGCACAAACACUGGACAUUGAACCCAAGGUCUUGCUCAGACAGUUGGUGACUGUGGUAUCAGUCAUACCUGAGGUCUUGCUGAGGCAGAUAGCAACCACAAUACUGGCUGAAACUGGGUCCUUGGAGGAACUGACGGACAGCUGCCUUGCUCAACAGUUGAGGAUCAGUUGAGCAUAUGCUAGAAAAUAUGAUUAUAUGUCAAUCAUCUUGCCCUGUAAAUAUGAAACAGCUCAGAGUGCAUUGAGCUCCUUCCUGAAUGACAGUGGGCUGCAUGACAGGAUUGUCCCUUGAGUAAGGAUGCCUCUGAAGGUUAUGUCUGCUGCAGAGAUCCCUUACACCUUGAUGUCAAGAGAUUCCUUGCUGCCACUAAUCCUUGCCCCCAACACAAGGACAUGGAGCUGUUGGAGCAGGUCCAGAGCAAGGCCAUGAAGAUGAUCAGAGGGCUGGAGCAGCUCCCCUUAUAAGGACAGGCUAACAGAGCUGGGGCUCUUGAGCCUGGAGAAGAGAAGGCUCUGAAGAGACCUUAUAGCUGCCUUCCAGUAUCUGAAGGGGCCUACAGGAAAGCUGGGGAGAGACUUUCAUAAGGACAUGUAGCAGUAGGAUGAGGGGAAAUGGUUUUAAACUGGAAGUGGGUAGAUUUAGAGUAGAUAUUGGGAAGGAAUUCUUUUGUGAGAGUGGUGAGACACUGGGGCCGGCUGCCCAGCGAGGUUGUGAAUGCCCCCUCCAUGGAAGCAUUCAAGGCCAGGCUGGAAGGGACUUUGUGCAACCUGGUCUAGAAGGAAGUGCCCCUGCCUAUAGCAGGGGGUUGGAACUAGGUGAUCUUAAAGGUCCCUUCCAGCCCAAACCAUUCUAUGAUUCUACGAUUCAAAAAGGAAUCCUUAGAAUCAAGGGUUUAUUAUUAAGGAUUGCACAAAAAAGUUAUCUGAUGACAUCAGUUAAAUCUCUGUAGACAAACAAAAUGCUUUAAGAAUCUUAGUAAUGGCACAAAAAACCUGUGAUUCUGUGAAAAAACCUAACUGUUUUUUUUAACUUUUACAUGUGUCACAGCUUCAUUUUUGCUAAUAGACCUAAAGGAUGAAGUCUGAGGAAUUAGUCCUUUCACAGGUAACCUACAAAUAAGUGAAAAUCUUCAUUACCAGAGUGCCAGUCCUGGACGUGACUUCUCUUUUCACUUAAAACCGAAAAUGAUUUGCACCAAAGUUCCUCUUUUGAUUUCCCCCCUGAAACAUUAAGAGGAACACUGGUACCCAGAGGGCAAGAUAAAGACAGCUGUGCUGACAUUCAAACUGACAAAGCACUGCAGUGGGAAUGCAUUGCCCUGGAGAAAUUUAUGAAAUGUGCAUAUCUAGAUUGAGUAUAUUCUUUUUUAUUGUUUUGGACUAUCUCUGAAGCUGUUGAAAAUGCUUAACUGCUUACCUAUUAAAUGAAUAUGCUUGCCUCUGGGGAUAGCUUCACAUGAAACCAGAGAUCUAGUAAAUACAGAAGUCAAAAUAAAACCCAAGAAAACUAUAAGUGUUCAUUCAACAUAUAUAGUAAUUUGUUUCAGUUGUCCUGAUCAGACAUGGUAAUAACACAGCAUGUACUUAUGCAUCUUAUAUUCUUGGAUUUAUUUUCACUCAGUAGAGUAAUUAUGUGGGGGAUUUCUAUUUUUUACUAGUUAUUGCAUAUAUAUGGAAUUCAAAUAUACUUUCCAGGGGCAGUCCAUACAUUCUGAGAUCAGACAUUCAAAUAAAUGUAUUGAAAGUUGCUUUAUAAGCACCAGCAAUGUGACGCGCUGGGACAGAGCAGCUGGAAGACUGUAGGUUGUUGUGGAAUCAUUUUAAGUGUCCCUGCAUUAAUGUUGAGAAAUGGAAUUGCAUUACCUCAGGUCAGUGACUCAAAAAACCUUUUUCCUUCUGCAUAUGAGAAAUACUUCCAAUAUAAAGAAAAUGAGAAAAGAGAAUAUUGAAUUAAAUGUGCUUUCUUUCCCUCUCUUAAGUUCUUCAUAUGCUCCUACAUUCAGGUGAGAGCUUUUGUUUCUUCAUAAGAAAUGUAUCCUGAGAAAAUUCCCAGAGGGUCUGUUCAGGUCCGGAUGAGAAUGAGUGGUGAAUACACCUAGCUGAGAGGAAAUCUCAUUAGUUUACAGCAGAACACUGCCACCUACAAUAGCAGUGAAGAACAAAUAAGGAAAACACAUUGUCUACCACUGAAUAUCGAUUUUCUGAAUGCAGAUUGUGAUAUGCUAUUUCAAUGGAUUUGCUUUGUCUAUCACCUGUUCAGAAAAAGAUGUUCAUUGACGUGAUCAUUCACAUAUGUUUAUUCAAGACAAAAGACUUUGCCUUUUCCCUGUUACAUCAAAAGGAGCAAUGUGCGUGAUUUGACGCACUGUUCUCCCUUCUCAGAUCACACAUUAAUUUCUUUUUGGGCAGAAUGAGCAGAAAUAAAGAGAAUUGUACGCAUUUCUAUAUUACUAUUUUCCUGAAACACACUGAAAAUAAAUGUUACUUCCCAGUCUCCUUUUAGACAUCUAAUUCUUUAGGUUCUGGGUGGUAGUAACAAUAAUGCAUUCAUCUGUUUUGAUAAGAUAGCAUCCUGUAAAAUUAAAAAUUUAGAACCAUAAACUUGAGAAUUGGGAUUGUACAGCUGGCUUUUGAGGAGAAAAAAACUGUGUUGUUGGGGUUUUGUUUUGCAAGUAACUGUUCAGCAAUAUAGUCCUCAGAAAAUUAAGGGAUCCCUUAACUACUCAUUUGCAUGAGCAAUUGUAUAGGGCUUAAUCUACACGGCCAAAGCAGAUGUGACAAUGAGUAAGCUGCAGUAUAUCCCAAAAUGGCAAAUCCUGUUUGGUCUCCCAAAGAUGUUGAAUAUUAAUAUGCCACUAGAAUGACAAAGAAAUGAACUUUAGGAACUGACUUUUUAUACUACCCUUCUUUUCACCUGGCAGAGGAGAGCUGGAUGAGGCCCAGUGAUGAGAUAGUGGGAG